ACAGGCAGGAUGUGGUCGCCCGUCAGGAGGUUUCUGACGGGAGGAAAGUCCGAGCUCCAGAGGACAGCGUAGUGGGUAAUCCCCACCUCCUGGUAUUUUAAGCCAGGACGGAUUCUGUAGAAAUACAGACUCACCAAAUAAUCUUGGUGAGAGAGCCACAGAGACGAGCUCCUCGACGGAAUCGUCGGGGAGGUGAAACGCGGCAAUCUCUACGCGGAGCAAGGCAGAAUAGGAGGCGAGGCACUGGUCCGGUGCGUGAUGAGCCUCGGGUAAGCUGCUGGAGUUCCGGCGGUAACGUCGGAAUCGAGAGAAAUGACCGCUACAGGUGUUAAGUUCACCUAGAAAACAGAACUCGGCUUAUCCUGCCUGUGCGC
rnacentral:RNase_P_RNA from 1 species